CGACCGGCGCACGGGUGAGUAACACGUAUCCAACCUGCCGUCUACUCUUGGACAGCCUUCUGAAAGGAAGAUUAAUACAAGAUGGCAUCAUGAGUCCGCAUGUUCACAUGAUUAAAGGUAUUCCGGUAGACGAUGGGGAUGCGUUCCAUUAGAUAGUAGGCGGGGUAACGGCCCACCUAGUCUUCGAUGGAUAGGGGUUCCGAGAGGAAGGUCCCCCACAUUGGAACUGAGACACGGUCCAAACUCCUACGGGAGGCAGCAUG
rnacentral:rRNA from 1 species